UUGGCAAGAUGGCACACCCCAGCUCACUCACCAGGAUGGUCUUUGUCCCUCUCCCUCCCAGGCUUCCCAUCAGAUGGACCACUCCUGUGUGCCCUCGAGCAGGAGCGAAGGUCCCGUGUCCCUCCAAAACCGCCCUCCCCACGUCAGCCUGCCAUCUACGGUGGUCAAAGGUUGGAAGCGGCCCUGAGCUGCCCCCGUUUCCUGCGGUACCCUCGUCAGCAUCUGAUCAGAAGCCUGGCAGGUGCCGAGGGAGGCAAGGCCAGAAGAACUGACUCCUCAUGUAAUGGUGCUUCUGGCGCAGCACCUGGCUCGGCACCGGUUGCGGGAACCCCAACUUCUGGAAGCCAUUGCUCAUUUCCUGGUGGUUCAGGAAGCCCAGCUCAACAGCAAGGUGGUACAGAAGUUGGUCCUGCCCUUUGGGAGGUUGAACUACUUGCCCCUGGAGCAACAGUUUAUGCCCUGUCUUGAGAGGAUCCUGGCUCGGGAAGCAGGGGUGGCACCCUUGGCCACAGUCAACAUCUUGAUGUCACUGUGCCAGCUGCAGCGCUUGCCCUUCAGAGCCCUGCAGUUUGUCUUCUCCCCCAGCUUCAUCAGCCACAUCAAUGGCACCCCUCCUUCUCUGAUUGUGCGACGCUACCUCUCUCUACUCGACACGGCUGUGGAGCUUGAACUCCCAGGAUACCGAGGCCCCCGC
rnacentral:lncRNA from 1 species